rnacentral:rRNA from 1 species
UACGUAGGUGGCAAGCGUUAUCCGGAUUUACUGGGUGUAAAGGGCGUGUAGGCGGGGACGCAAGUCAGAUGUGAAAACCACGGGCUCAACCUGUGGCCUGCAUUUGAAACUGUGUUUCUUGAGUACUGGAGAGGCAGACGGAAUUCCUAGUGUAGCGGUGAAAUGCGUAGAUAUUAGGAGGAACACCAGUGGCGAAGGCGGUCUGCUGGACAGCAACUGACGCUGAGGCGCGAAAGCGUGGGGAGCGAACAGG